rnacentral:rRNA from 1 species
GGUCCUAUCAUGCAAGUCGAGCGGACAGAUGGGAGCUUGCUCCCUGAUGUUAGCGGCGGACGGGUGAGUAACACGUGGGUAACCUGCCUGUAAGACUGGGAUAACUCCGGGAAACCGGGGCUAAUACCGGAUGGUUGUUUGAACCGCAUGGUUCAAACAUAAAAGGUGGCUUCGGCUACCACUUACAGAUGGACCCGCGGCGCAUUAGCUAGUUGGUGAGGUAACGGCUCACCAAGGCGACGAUGCGUAGCCGACCUGAGAGGGUGAUCGGCCACACUGGGACUGAGACACGGCCCAGACUCCUACGGGAGGCAGCAGUAGGGAAUCUUCCGCAAUGGACGAAAGUCUGACGGAGCAACGCCGCGUGAGUGAUGAAGGUUUUCGGAUCGUAAAGCUCUGUUGUUAGGGAAGAACAAGUACCGUUCGAAUAGGGCGGUACCUUGACGGUACCUAACCAGAAAGCCACGGCUAACUACGUGCCAGCAGCCGCGGUAAUACGUAGGUGGCAAGCGUUGUCCGGAAUUAUUGGGCGUAAAGGGCUCGCAGGCGGUUUCUUAAGUCUGAUGUGAAAGCCCCCGGCUCAACCGGGGAGGGUCAUUGGAAACUGGGGAACUUGAGUGCAGAAGAGGAGAGUGGAAUUCCACGUGUAGCGGUGAAAUGCGUAGAGAUGUGGAGGAACACCAGUGGCGAAGGCGACUCUCUGGUCUGUAACUGACGCUGAGGAGCGAAAGCGUGGGGAGCGAACAGGAUUAGAUACCCUGG